CAAAAGUCCUAGGUUUUUGUUUUCUUCCCAAGAUUGAUUUCCUACCAGUUACGUCUACUAUUUCCCAUCCUCUCUGGCAAAAUUGCAAGGAGUGGCAUCAGCACAUCUUUGUACAGUAGGCGAAUAUAUUUGGAAUGCUUAUUUCUGAGAGCUGUUGAAGACGGCUAACAAUUUUACCCCACGCAGAAGGACUGACAAUAAAUUUAGGAGUGGCAAAUGGAACCACUGUUCUGUUUCCCUCUCAGUAAAUAAAUAACUGCAAAACCUGUACUCCAAUACCAGAGCGUCAAAUCCAUGGCGCUCUGUUGAUUAACACCGAAAAUGUCUUUGUGAAGAUGAUGCAUUUAGAAGAGUCCUAAGGCUCGCACCAGAAGCUGACACUGAAGGUUUAUUUUAAUGUAGCACAAAUCAGAGCGAACGACGUGAAAAGAGUUCUGUUUCUCCUGGAAGGAUGCCACUUGUUUCUACUCCAGGGGAAAUGUCUUCCAAGCUCUUUACCAAAUCUGCAAGCUGAACCAACUCAACUGUGGCUGCCUUGCCCACCUGAAGACCUCAGGAUCCACCAGCAGCCCAAGACACCUCGGAAGCUGUUUCAAGGACAAGCGUCGCCUGCACACGUCAGCACAAAUGGGAACAUGAUGAGUGAUGCUGCCUGGAGUUAAAGGAGGCCAGGAGCACCAGAAGCUGGAGGAGGCCGGGGUGGAUUCUCGCCUGGAGGCUUCAGUGGGAGCACGAGCUCCCGACACUUCGGUUCCAUCUCUUGUUUAAAGGCACCCAGUUUCUCAUCAUUUGUUACAGCACCAUGGAAAACCCACACACAAGUGAAGCCCCGACCCACCUCCCAAGUGCCCAUCUGAGCACCCCUCGUGGACUCUGAGCAGGGGGUUGCCAUCACCAACUCCAAGUCUUGCAGCCCCUCUUCCCUUCAGUCUGGCUGCCACCUUCUUCAUUGCCCUGGAAAAAAAUAAUGAAGUUUCACCAUUUAAAGGGUUUCAGUGCAGCUUGCUAUGGGAACACUGGAGAGUAACACAAAUGGCCAAUUGUCCUAAUAGCCACCAUGGAUUGGAUGGAUGCUAACAACAGGCUCACAGUUCUCCUUCUGUUGCCUCCUUUUAUCCACAUGAGAAUCAAACAAGAUCUUCUAGGAAUCUAAAAAUGUGUGUGAGAUUUCACCUGUAAAAGCUGAGUUAUUCUGAAUCUGCGUUUUCCUGAAGAUUUUUCUUUGUGUGGUCAGCCUUCUUGGAAAAAUCCAGAAGCCACCAUCAACUUACAACCCUGCAUGAAUAAAUGACUACUGAUUAAAUGAAGCCUUUGAUGAAGUGCAUGCAGUUUGUAGCUUGAUUCAUGGGAAUACUCAUCACAGACUGAAAGUGUAACCCAGGGUCUCUGGGUUUUUGGGAACGCGCUGUGUAAAAGUAUCUACUUGUAACUGUUACUCCCUGAGUUGUUGUUGUUUUAGAAAGUUCCAAGAAGAAGCUUAGCCUUGGAAAAAACAAAAACUGGUUGAAUCCAGAAGUGGAGAUGAAUUUUGGCCAACGCUCCUCACUGCCACACUAAAAACCCUGCUCAGAGAGGAGCUUAUUCACCAUGUUCUAUUCAUGCAAUGUGUGUGGAAACAUGAUCUACGACAGCAUGCGUGCUGCCUUCACCCUACCUCUACAUACAAUGACUCAUUUAACCUGCUGAAUAAAAGCCCUGUUUUCACCUUUGCUGGGGGAGGUGCCGCUUUGGGAACUAUUCGCAGUGUCCUCUUCACUUUUUGCAAGUAAUAGAAUACCCUUGUUAAAUCCUACUUGGUUGUGGUCAUUAUAGUGUCACCCGCCAAGCAAUCGAUCCCACCCAGGGUUAACAAAUGCGGGAUAACAAAUGUCAGGUUUUAGGCAAGUUACUUACUCGCUCAAAAUAUGAAGAUAUAAGUUACCAUCAGUUGUCAAUCAUGGUGAGCUUUGCUCUGCUGCAGUAACAGACAAUCGUAACUCUUAGUAGCUCUAAAUGACCAGUUUAAAUAACACCUCGUCUUUGUAGUUUUGAUAGCGACAGGAGGCAGCCAAAUGCCUAGGCAGGUAGGGGCAGGUUCCCCGUGAAACUCCAUCUCCAAGCCGAAGACAGUUUAGAGCCUGAAAGCCAAGCUCCACAUUAAAUCCUCCGACUGGAUUGAGAACUUGUCUUCCUGUUUAGUGUGCUUUUCUCUCAUUGGUCCCUGCCAUUCACCUAUUUCAUAUACACCUAACCUUUUCUAAUUGGUUUUCUAUACUGUCAUGCCCAACUUUGAGUGGUCUUUGCUUUAACCUUUUCUACAUAUUCACAAACCGAUCAGCAUGCACCCCCCAUUCUGAGUCCAUGAAAGGCUCUGGAUCUAGCCACACAGAGGAACUUUCCCAUCUUCAGGUAGGGGGGCCACCACCAACAUGUCCCCUCUCCACCAAAAGCUGUUUUCAUUGUUCAAUAAAAUUCUUCUCUGCCUUCCUCACCCUUCAAUGUCCAGCAUAUCCUCAUUCUUCUUGGGCAUGGUACAAGAGCACAGGAACCACUGAAGGUGGGUACAAGUUAUAAUACAGGCAAGUGGGGGCAUGCCAGCUUUGGCUGAGUGAGGACCAGGUCGAGCAUUACUGUCAGGGGAUCCCUGGCUUGCAAAGUGACCAAGAAGAAAAGUCUUACAUUAGUUUGGCUAGGGUGAGGCCCUGACCUCUGUUACCUUCACUCGGCCAGCUCACUGAUGGUGACUCUGUAUUGAUAGGCACUCCACCCAGAAAUUGUGCACUGACAUUUCCUGGCCAACGAAAGUUACUCAACUAUGCCUGAUUUUAAACUGCAAUCCUAACAUGACCCAGAAGGUGAAGAGCCAGAAAUAUUUGAUGACUACACUGAGCCCACUUUCCCUCACAGGCUUGUUUUGCAGGGUUAAUGAUUUAAGCCAUGUGAUGUAUGGUUCACAGGGUGCCUGGCACCUGCCAAGUAUUCUUCCCCCAGGAGUUGGCAGGUCCUUGAAGGCACUCUCUGGUUUAGAUAUUCUUAGCUCCUUCCACUGUUCCUCAUGCUACAUUAUCUUAAAUCUUUUUAUUUUUACCAUCCUGGUUCGUCUCCUCUAAAAAUCCUACCCAAAUGUCCCUGUUAAUUCAUGAUCCACCAGAAACAAACAAUCUUCCAGCUGAAUACAGAACCCAAGAGAACAAAAUGAUCUCCUUCCUUCUUCUAGAUUAUGCAUCCUAAAAUCUGACUGUUUUUUCUUUUCUGGCAAUCAGAGUGCACUGUUGAAUUUACUGUCAAUUAAACAUUCUCCAUCUCUUCUAUGUAUUUUUCUGUAUUUAGACAUUUUUCUCCAAUCCCAUACUUGUGUCAUUAGCUUUUCAGUCACAAAUAAAAGAAGUUUCACAUUGUUCCUUAUUAAAGAGCAUCUGUUUGACUUGGCCCAUUCUUCCCAGCAGUUAUAAUUCAGACCAAGGUUGUUCUCAUCCAACAUUCAAACAAACACUAUGGAAUGGGAGAGGUAUGAAAGCAUUCAUCCCGACAAACAAUGGUCUCACCAUUUUGGAAGGCAUCUUUUUUACUUCAUUUUUUAACAGCUGUAUUAAUAUGUAACUGAGGUACAAUAAACUGAAUACAUUUAAAGGGUACAAUUUUUAUAAGUGUGGACCUUUGAAUACACCCAUGGAAC
rnacentral:lncRNA from 1 species